GCUGCGGUAGCUCCAGUGGUAGAGCGCGUCCUUGGUAAGGACGAGGUCAUGGGUUCGAAUCCCAUCCGUAGCA
rnacentral:tRNA from 1 species